AUACAUGUAGCUAUAAGACAAUGAUCAUUAAGGUGGUUUUUCCAGGGCAAGGCUUAUUCGUUGCACUCCGGAUAUGCUGACCCCUGCGAUUUCCCCAAAUGUAGGAAACUUAACUGCAUAAUAUGUGGUAAUGGGGCACUGCGUUAGCACUUUAAGGAGCCCUA